GACGAACGCUGGCGGCGUGCUUAACACAUGCAAGUCGAACGGAAAGGCCCUGCUUUUGUGGGGUGCUCGAGUGGCGAACGGUUGAGUAACACGUGAGUAACCUGCCCUUGACUUUGGGAUAACUUCCGGAAACUGGGGCUAAUACCGGAUAGGAGCUCCUGCUGCAUGGUGGGGGUUGGAAAGUUUCGGCGUUUGGGGCUGGACUCGCGGCUUAUCAGCUUGUUGGUGGGGUAGUGGCUUACCAAGGCUUUGACGGGUAGCCGGCCGGAGAGGGUGACCGGCCACAUUGGGACUGAGAUACGGCCCAGACUCCUACGGGAGGCAGCAGUGGGGAAUAUUGCACAAUGGGCGGAAGCCUGAUGCAGCAACGCCGCGUGCGGGAUGACGGCCUUCGGGUUGUAAACCGCUUUCGCCUGUGACGAAGCGUGAGUGACGGUAAUGGGUAAAGAAGCACCGGCUAACUACGUG
rnacentral:rRNA from 1 species